rnacentral:rRNA from 1 species
GUGAGGAAUAUUGGACAAUGGGCGCAAGCCUGAUCCAGCCAUGCCGCGUGCAGGAAGACGCAUCUAUGGUGUGUAAACUGCUUUUGUACGGGAAGAAACACUCCCUCGUGAGGGAGCUUGACGGUACCGUAAGAAUAAGGAUCGGCUAACUCCGUGCCAGCAGCCGCGGUAAUACGGAGGAUCCAAGCGUUAUCCGGAAUCAUUGGGUUUAAAGGGUCCGUAGGCGGUUUAAUAAGUCAGUGGUGAAAGCCCAUCGCUCAACGAUGGAACGGCCAUUGAUACUGUUAGACUCGAAUUACAAGGAAGUAACUAGAAUAUGUAGUGUAGCGGUGAAAUGCUUAGAUAUUACAUGGAAUACCAAUUGCGAAGGCAGGUUACUACUUGUGGAUUGACGCUGAUGGACGAAAGCGUGGGGAGCGAACAGGAUUAGAAACCCUUGUAGUCC